GCCUUCUUUUCUUUCUUGGCCCUAGAAAC
rnacentral:piRNA from 1 species